rnacentral:snRNA from 1 species
UUGCCUUAAACUGAUGAGUAAGGAAAAUAACGACACUAGCGAUCUAGUAUCUAGGCUAUUUUAUUAAUAAAAGUCGCGGGGCUGCGAUGACAAUACGUUUCUGUGUGUGCGCAGCGCGAUCUGCGAU